UAGGGAAUCUUCCACAAUGGACGCAAGUCUGAUGGAGCAACGCCGCGUGAGUGAAGAAGGCUUUCGGGUCGUAAAACUCUGUUAUUGAAGAAGAACGUGUGUGACAGUAACUGGUCAUGCAGUGACGGUAUUCAAUCAGAAAGUCACGGCUAACUACGUGCCAGCAGCCGCGGUAAUACGUAGGUGGCAAGCGUUGUCCGGAUUUAUUGGGCGUAAAGCGAGUGCAGGCGGUCUUUUAAGUCUGAUGUGAAAGCCUUCGGCUUAACCGAAGAAGGGCAUCGGAAACUGGGAGACUUGAGUGCAGAAGAGGAGAGUGGAACUCCAUGUGUAGCGGUGAAAUGCGUAGAUAUAUGGAAGAACACCAGUGGCGAAGGCGGCUCUCUGGUCUGUAACUGACGCUGAGGCUCGAAAGCGUGGGUAGCAAAACAGGAUUAGAUACCCUGGUAGUCC
rnacentral:rRNA from 1 species